rnacentral:rRNA from 1 species
AUUGAACGCUGGCGGCAUGCCUUACACAUGCAAGUCGAACGGCAGCAUGGAGGAGCUUGCUCCUCUGAUGGCGAGUGGCGAACGGGUGAGUAAAGCAUCGGAACGUACCGUGUAGUGGGGGAUAACGUAGCGAAAGUUACGCUAAUACCGCAUACGCACUGAGGUGGAAAGCAGGGGAUCGCAAGACCUUGCGCUAUACGAGCGGCCGAUGUAAGAUUAGCUAGUUGGUAGGGUAAAGGCCUACCAAGGCGACGAUCUGUAGCGGGUCUGAGAGGAUGAUCCGCCACACUGGGACUGAGACACGGCCCAGACUCCUACGGGAGGCAGCAGUGGGGAAUUUUGGACAAUGGGGGAAACCCUGAUCCAGCCAUGCCGCGUGAGUGAAGAAGGCCUUCGGGUUGUAAAGCUCUUUCGGCUGGGAAGAAAUCGCACAGGCUAAUACUCUGUGUGGAUGACGGUACCAGCAUAAGAAGCACCGGCUAACUACGUGCCAGCAGCCGCCGUAACAC